CUGUGACCCGGAGGCGCUGGGGCUGUCCUGGGUCGUCACAUGCGAGAAAUCGUCUCACCCCAGCCAGUGUGACGGAGUGAGAGCAAAAGAAAGUUUUGAUAGCAGCGUACGAUUUAUAUUCAGCUGUAUGCUGGGCAGGUCCAACUUGGCAUUUCUUGGCUGUAUCUCUGAAGGAAAGUCAUCUUAAUCUCUAUGAGCCUCCAUUUCCUCAGCUGUAAAAUGGGAAGAUCUUCCUCACACUGCUGUGACCCCACGUUAUCAAGAAAAGUACAGGAAAUCUGCCGUUGGGAGAGCGGCAGCACCCAUGUGGAGUGCCACUUUCUGAUCUGGGACUUAAACAACAUUGCUGUUUUCCUCCUUGCUCCAAGUCAUCCAUUUUGACAAUUUUAUAUCAGCAUGGACCCUUCACCAAGACUGAAAUAACUCUGUUAUUGAGUGUUGGGAACACGGAGAUGAAUAAAACAAGGCCCCUGUCCUGGGAGAGCCGAGAGGCCACCUGUCAGCUGACAUCUUAGGGAGGACACCAUCUACAUCCAACCCUGACUACUGAACACUUCCAGUUUCUUGGAAGAAAGAUUUUAAAAUCUUCAGAAAUGAGAACUCCUCCAAAUAGGAUUUUCAUUUGUUUCAUAUAUUUUAAAAUUUUAUAUUUUAAUAUGUAACAGUCAUAUGGUUUAAAUAUAAAAAUGACAUCAGUGGCUCAGUAAAAAAAAAAAAAAAAAA
rnacentral:lncRNA from 1 species